rnacentral:rRNA from 1 species
GAUAAACGCUGGCGGCGUGCCUAACACAUGCAAGUCGGACGAAGCAGUAGCAAUACUGACUGAGUGGCGGAAGGGUGCGUAACACGUAGGUGACCUACCUCAUCCCAGGGAACAACCAGUCGAAAGACUGGCUAAUACCCAAAAGGCUCGGUGAUUCAUUUUGUCGAGCAGAGUCGCAAGGCGGGAUGAGAGGGGCCUGCGGCCCAUCAGCUAGUUGGUAGGGUAACGGCCUACCAAGGCAACGACGGGUAGGGGGUCUGAGAGGACGUCCCCCCACACUGGAACUGAAACACGGUCCAGACGCCUACGGGUGGCAGCAGUGAGGAAUAUUGGUCAAUGGGCGAAAGCCCGAACCAGCAACGCCGCGUGGAGGAUGAAGGCCUUCGGGUUGUAAACUUCUUUUAGGGGAGACGAGCAAGGACGGUAUCCCCGGAAUAAGCCACGGCAAACUACGUGCCAGCAGCCGCGGUAAUACGUAGGUGGCGAGCGUUAUCCGGAUUCACUGGGCGUAAAGCGCUUGUAGGUGGUUCUGUAAGUUGGGUGUGAAAUCUUCGGGCUUAACUCGGAGUGGCCGCUCAAUACUGCAGGACUUGAGGAUGUCAGAGGGAGAUGGAAUUCCUGGUGUAGUGGUGAAAUGCGUAGAUAUCAGGAGGAACACCCGUGGCGAAGGCGGUCUCCUGGGGCACUCCUGACACUGAGAAGCGACAGCUAGGGGAGCGAACGGGAUUAGAAACCCCGGUAGUCCUAGCCGUAAACGAUGGAUGCUGGGUGCUGGCAGAUCUAACCCUGUCUGUGCCGAAGCUAACGCGUUAAGCAUCCCGCCUGGGGACUACGAUCGCAAGAUUAAAACUCAAAGGAAUUGACGGGGACCCGCACAAGCAGCGGAGCGUGUGGUUUAAUUCGAUGCUACACGAAGAACCUUACCCGGGUUUGACAUAUAGGUAGUAGUGAACCGAAAGGGGAACGACCCGCAAGGGAGCCUGUACAGGUGUUGCAUGGCUGUCGUCAGCUCGUGUCGUGAGAUGUUCGUUUAAGUACGCUAACGAGCGCAACCCUUACUGCCAGUUACACGUGUCUGGCGGGACUGCCGGCCACAAGCCGGAGGAAGGCGAGGACGACGUCAAGUCAGCAUGGCCUUUAUAUCCGGGGCUACACACACGCUACAAUGGGUAGGUACAAUGGGUCGCCAAGCCGCGAGGCGGAGCCAAUCCCAAAAAACUAUCCUCAGUUCAGAUUGCAGGCUGCAACCCGCCUGCAUGAAGUCGGAGUUGCUAGUAAACGCGCGUCAGCUAUAGUGCGUUGAAUACGUUCCCGGGUCUUGUACACACCGCCCGUCACACUAUGGGAGCUGGCAAUACCUGAAGCCGGUAGCCCAACCGCAAGGAAGGCGCCGUCAAAGGUAGGGUUGGUGACUGGAGUG